rnacentral:rRNA from 1 species
CCUACGGGUGGCAGCAGUGAGGAAUAUUGGUCAAUGGGCGCGAGCCUGAACCAGCCAAGUCGCGUGAGGGAAGACGGUCCUAUGGAUUGUAAACUUCUUUUGUCGGGGAGCAAAAGACGCCACGUGUGGCGUUCCGAGAGUACCCGAUGAAAAAGCAUCGGCUAACUCCGUGCCAGCAGCCGCGGUAAUACGGAGGAUGCGAGCGUUAUCCGGAUUUAUUGGGUUUAAAGGGUGCGCAGGCGGAAGAUCAAGUCAGCGGUAAAAUUGGGAGGCUCAACCUCUUCGAGCCGUUGAAACUGGUUGUCUUGAGUGAGCGAGAGGUAUGCGGAAUGCGUGGUGUAGCGGUGAAAUGCAUAGAUAUCACGCAGAACUCCGAUUGCGAAGGCAGCAUACCGGCGCUCAACUGACGCUCAUGCACGAAAGUGUGGGUAUCGAACAGGAUUAGAUACCCCAGUAGUC